CCCAGAGUUCCGUGUUGUGAGAAUAGUAAAUUUGAUCACCUUUCUGGGUCCCCAGCUUCCUUAUGCAGAACGCAGGUUAUCACCCUGGAAACACAUGCCUGGCACUUGGACAUUUGUAUGCCUCAGGACACUCCUGGAUAGCUGACACAAGAGGAAACCAUUUCCAACUGCUGCUAUGGUUUCUCUCCCUUCUUCCUCUGAAGCACUACAGCACUUUCAAAGUAAAGAUUAUAGAAUAAGGUAAGA